CUGUAACCUGGAAUUGUUCGAUCAUUUCUUCAAUCUGUCUGGCAGUCCUGUUUCCCUUUCCUGAUAUCCUCUCCAUGUGUAUUUGUAGAUUCCUUGUCAUUGUCAAUGAACCUUUUCUCACGGAUGCCUUAAAAAUAUUUUUGUUUCCCCUGCAUAUAGUUGCUUAUGACUGCAGAGAUUGGCAAAACAUCAUACAUAUAGAAGACGGUCACCUCUUCUUUUGAUCGUAAAGGAACAAUGUAUAUGUCCA